CAACGACAACGGAUUUCUAGCGGUGAGUGUGGUGGACGUCGAAUUCGAAAUGGUUGUUGUGUUUUACCGACGGUCCGACGAUGAGCGUGCGCUGAAUGAAAUGUUUUACUGCUUCAUGGUUAAUGGUGGGUAUUGAUGCAUAUUCAUGACUUCAUAAAGGAGUGAAAAGAAUUGCGUUACAUUGAAUACUUUAUGCAUAGAGUGAAUCUGCUUCGGUACUAUAAAGUAACAUCGAUUGUUGUUUUUGAUGGUGGUAAUGUUCCUUGCAAAUCAGCAACUGAGAAAGAGAGGAACAAGAAAAGGAAUGGUUAUCAUGAUUUGGCAAUGGCUAAGCUCAAAUAAGGGAAUGUUAAUGCUGCUUCAGAGCUAUUUCAG